CACACAUUAAGAAAGUGAAGCGAAGAGGAGACGCCGUGUUCGCGGACAUACAGAAACGUGUAAACCUGGAUGUGGCCCAGGAUCAGGUAAAGGUUCCCAUCGUGCACGAAAUUGCAGCCGUUUCACAAAACUCAACACGCGCAGUUCAGGGUUAAAGGAAUCCGUUUGGUUGAGAUGGUGUCGCCACCCACUGACUGGACAUAAAGCGUAUCGAACGUCGCUUACACGGACUGCAGGUGUAUAGUGAGCAGUGUAUCAUGGUGUGUGUGUGUGUAUUGCCGCUUUUCCACUACCAACACAGCUGAGUUGGGCUGAGCCGUGCCGUGCUGAGUCGGGCUGAGCGGGGCUGUUGGAGUUGCAUUUCGACUACAACCGCGCUGAACCGUGCUGGCUGGAAGUGGGUGGACACAUUGGGUGGAGUUAGUGAAAGUGGGUGGACGUCACGUGAUGUCGUUAGGCGGCGCAAACAGUGACAUCAGUGAUCUUUUAAGCGGUAGUCUCACGACCCGGAUAGUAAACAAUAAACAUGGAGUCGUUAGUGUUGCUGGUCUUGGUGCUGUGGCUUGUUGUCACCGACAACGCAAACAGAUACUGGCAAGAGCGUAUAGAUGAGGCGAGGCGCAUAAGGCUUCAUAAUUCUCAUAAUUCUCCUUCUUCCGGGUUUACGGUGUUUACAGAUCCCAGCGUGCUCGCGGGGCGUGUGUGGGCAUGUGAGGACACUCCUUCUCACCAAUCAGUGCACAGGGGAGUGUCUCCUCACGCCCCUAGCCCCACUCGGCUCGGUUUGGCUCGCUUCAGCCCCACUCCAAAACGGUGCGAGUUUUGGGGGCUAAGCAGGGCUGAAGCGAGCCGAGUCGUGCUGCUCUGAGGUAGUCGAAUCGCGAGCCGUGUCGGGCUGAAGUGAGCUGAAAAAGGGUAGUGGAAAAGGGCCAUAUGUGUUAAAGGGAAAACUUGACACACUUUUUUCCCCCCGUUCUUUAAAUUUUGUCGUCAUUCUCAUUUGAGAUGCCACUAAUUAUUUUUAAACAAUUUUUUUUUCUGUCCCUCAGUGCAUCACUUUCUUCAUUGUAGUAUCAUUAGUCUCUGAAAAAUGAUUUUUUUUGUUUGUUGGACUUUGUCUUGAAGAAAUUGACUCCACCCACUCGAUCAUACUAACACCACAAAGACCACAAUUUUUCUGCCUACCUAGAAGGACCAGAGAGGGGUCAUUUGACCCACACAGCUUGCCUACCUAGAAGGACCAGAGAGGGGUCAUUUGACCCACACAGCUUGCCUACCUAGAAGGACCAGAGAGGGGUCAUUUGACCCACACAGCUUUUGCCGAAUACACUAAUCACUCAUUUUGUUAUGGUAAUGAGGCUGUUAGGGGCAGUGUGUGGGGUGAGGGGGUCACACCUUACAAUGUGUGUGUAAUUGUAUGUAAAUGUCCGAGCAUAAAACUAUCAAACGUAUUGUUGUGCAUGUGGGAGCAAAUGAUGUUUUCAGAGAACAGCUGUUUGUCCAAGAUGAUUUCAGAAAACUUUUUUCUGAUCUCUAUAAGACUGGAAUACAAUCUUUUAUUAGUGGCCCACUCCCAGCGAGAGGAAUUUUUGCAUUUUCUCGACUCUUCAGUCUUAACACCUGGCUUGGAAAAACUUGUUUUUCAUUUGGUAUGAGCUUCAUAGACAAUUUUAACCUUUUCUGGAAUCGCAGAGAAUUCUUCAAGCCAAAUAGCACUGAACUCAGCUGGAUUGGAGCCAAAGUCUUAGUAGACCAUUACAGACUUGCAAUCUUUUCUCAGCCAGCAUUGAAGAAAACAGUUGUUUCUGUGUUGGUAACAGCCAAGACAAACAGGGGCAGACAGCUUCUUCCGAAGGGCUGUCAGCCUCUGAAAUCACCACAGGUAAAUAGUAACUAAUACAGUAUACUGUAUAUAAUACAUAUAAUAUUAUGAAUUAAACGUUUUGCUUGGACAUGAAACAUGAUCACUGAUUUUCUGAAGCGUUAGGUUCAGUGGAGAGCACAGAGGAGAGGAGAGGAGAGGAGCACAGAGGAGAGAGGAGAGGAGAGGAGCAUGGAGGAGAGAGGAGAGGAGAGAGAAGAGAAGAGAAGAAAUGAGAGGAGCACAGAGGAGAGAAGAAAAUAGAAGAGAAGAGAGACGAAGAGAGGAGAGGAAAGGAAAGGAUAGGAAAGGAAAGAUGAGGAGAGAAGAGACGAGGAGAGUAGAGGAAAGGAAAAAAGAGGAGAGAAGAGGAGAAGAGAGGAGAGAUGAGGAGAGGAGAGCAGAGCAGAGCAGAGGAAAGGGAUGGAGAGGAAAGGAAAUGAGAGGACCACAGAGGAGAGGAGAGGAAAGGAGAGGAGCACAGAGGAGGGUGGUGGAGAGGAGAAGAGAGGAGAGGGGGUAUGAGGAGAGGCAAAGAGAGGAGUGGAGCACAGAGCAGGGUGGUGGAGAACUGAGGAGUGGAGAGGACACGGAAGAGAGUCUGGAAGAGAGAAAGGAGUGGUGUGGAGUGGAGUGGAGAGAGAAAGGGGUCCAGGAGUAGAGAAAGAGAAGAGAGAAGAAGAGCAGAGGAUAGAGGUGAGAAGUGGAGGGAAACUGAGUAAGUUUGGAUUUGAGGAGGGCAGAUAAGAGAGGGAGGAGGGCACAGAGGAGAAAGUGAAAGGCAGGAGAGAGUAAAGGAGGGGAGAGGAGAGGAGAAUAUGGAGGAAGGCAGAGAGGAGAGGAGGGGAGGGCAGAUAGUUUGAAGGGAAGGAGAGGGAUAUGUGGAUGAGGCCAGAGAGAGUGACACAGAGGGACACAGAAGUCUUUUCUGUGAUGGAGUCACGGAUGUGCUUUCUUCAUGUUCCCUAUGUUUCUCUAUGGCACAGCCCCCCAAGGCAUGCCCAUGGCGACGGGUCUGCAUGUGAAUGUCCCAUGUGACCAUAACGAGUCAUAAUUUUGUGGUGAAAGAAGCUCCUCUCCAAGGAACGAAGAUGCAGAGAUUCAGCACUCAACAGGCAUUGGAAAUGAUCCUGGAUGGAGCUGACCCUGGCGAAUCGGAUGGAGAAGACAUCAAUCUCCAGGUGGAUUCAGACUCCGAGCUGUCUCAGUCUUCAGAUGAGGAGAGUGCUCCCCAACCAACAAAGAGAGCUCGGCUAGCGACUGAUGUGGCAGAGACUGCAAAAGAUGGCACAGUAUGGCAUGAAGAACAGGUGGGAACGGGUCCACAUUUCACCCCACCAACGCCAUACAGCGCAGAUGGAGAGCCAACCGCUAAGGCCAGGAGGUCAAUCACAAGUCGCCUUCAGAGCUUCCUUUGUUUCAUCACUCUGGACAUGCUUGGCAUCAUACGAGACUGUACAAUUCAACAUGCGAAGCAAACUGAGCAUGUGGAUUGGUUCAUGGGCAUACCUGAACUAAUGGCAUUUAUUUCCAUCACCAUCAUGAGGGGAAUCAUCAAGGUGCCAUCACUGCAUGACUGCUGGUCGAAAAACCUGGGAAACCCACACAUCAUCGAAACCAUGUCCCGAGGGCGUUUCAAAAACAUCAUGCAUCACCUGCGCUUUGAUGACAGAGACACCCGCAGCGAGCGAGUACAGACUGAUAGGUUUGCUGCAAUUUCAAACAUAUGGGGAUUGUUUGUCACCAACUGCAUCACAUCCUACAUCCCUGGUCAACACAUCACCAUUGACGAACAACUUUUCCCGUGCAAGACUCGCUGCUGUUUCCUACAGUACAUUGCAACUAAACCAGACAAGUUUGGUAUCAAGUUUUGGGUGGCGUGUGACUUGAAAACCAAAUACGUCUGCAACAUCCUCCCAUAUCUUGGCAAGGACCCCACUCGGCCUCGUGGGGAGAGAGUGUCUGAGAGUGUAGUCAUGAGGCUGAUGGAACCAUUCUUGGACAAGGGCAGAAAUGUUACCACAGACAAUUUCUUUACAUCACUGUCACUUGCAAAACGACUACUUAGCCGGAAUUCAACCAUCCUCGGCACAGUCAACAGGAUUCGCCAAGAAAUUCCACCAUCAACUCGACAGAUGCACCGCGAUGAAUUUACCACCCAGGUAUUUUCAUCCACUGGUGCCACACUGACUGUGUAUGCGCCCAAGCGGAAGAAGACAGUAUAUGUUCUCAGCAGCAUGCACAGCACGAUUCAGACACAGGAAACCGCCAAAAAGAAGCCAAACACCAUCACACUCUACAACACAACAAAGUGCGGCGUCGAUAUCAUGGACCAGAUGGUGCGGGAAUACACUGUCCGCGCAGGAACAAGGCGCUGGCCAAUAUCAGUGUUCUACAACAUGAUAGACAUUGCAGCACUGAAUGCCCACGUGCUCUAUCAAUUAUGCACUGGGAGAAAGGAAAGACGGGUGGAUUUCCUGUUUGAACUGGCAAGAGAGUUGGCUCACUCCCACGUGGGUAUGAAAAAGGUCCAAAAGGAGCAAUUGCUUCAGCAACAACCCUCCACACCACAAUUCGGACAAAGAGCCAAGUGUCAGGCUAAAAUCAAAUGCAAGGACAAUCGUGCAACUGUGCGCUGUGUUGGCUGUUAUAAAUAUACAUGUGGGAAAUGCAGAAAGGAGCAAUGGCUGUGCCAGAAUUAAGCAUCUCCCGACAUCUGAUAUCAAAACGGAGGAAGUGAUCCAAAACGUGACCAGUUCUGCUAACGGAGGGAUUUCCAGCACGUCGUCAU